GAUGAACGCUGGCGGCGUGCCUAAUACAUGCAAGUCGAGCGAACAGACGAGGAGCUUGCUCCUCUGACGUUAGCGGCGGACGGGUGAGUAACACGUGGAUAACCUACCUAUAAGACUGGGAUAACUUCGGGAAACCGGAGCUAAUACCGGAUAAUAUAUUGAACCGCAUGGUUCAAUAGUGAAAGACGGUUUUGCUGUCACUUAUAGAUGGAUCCGCGCCGCAUUAGCUAGUUGGUAAGGUAACGGCUUACCAAGGCAACGAGGCGUAGCCGACCUGAGAGGGUGAUCGGCCACACGGGAACUGAGACACGGCCCAGACUCCUACGGGAGGCAGCAGUAGGGAAUCUUCCGCAAUGGGGGAAAGCCUGACGGAGCACCGCCGCGUGAGUGAUGAAGGUCUUCGGAUCGUAAAACUCUGUUAUUAGGGAAGAACAAAUGUGUAAGUAACUAUGCACGUCUUGACGGUACCUAAUCAGAAAGCCACGGCUAACUACGUG
rnacentral:rRNA from 1 species